UUUUCCUCUCUUUCUUUCAUCUGACGCUCUCUAUCUCUCUUUCACGUCUUUCUCCUUCUUCCUUCUCCGGCGAUUUCGCUGGUUCUCGCCGCCUCCGGCGCGACGAGGAUCGUGGUGGUUCUUCCCCUUUAUUGUUUUCUACUUAUCCACCGGUGCCACCGUCUGUAUCUCUCUCCCCACUCCUAAUUCUCAAUUCAGACCACACAUCCCCCAAAGGUUACUCUCUCUGUCGUUCGCCGCUAGGCACCGUCCCCAUCUUCUCCAAUCGCGCUACCCUACCUCAGAGCCUCCACUGUCGAGUCUUCUCCAUCGUCUCACCCCAUCCUCGGCCGCCGCCGCUAAUUUGAAAUCCCCUAACCCCAAAUUGCCGACCCCUCUCUUUUUCCCUAAUUGUUACCGGUCUCUUGCCUGCGCCGCUUGCGUCUGUCUCUCUGGAAACCGGUGGCAUUUCGAUAGCCAGAUGCGAUUCAAGCUUUCAUUUCCCGGUGGAAGCUUCGAGACAUGGUCAGAAAAUCUAGCUCUAGCAUCUUUUGGAGGUAUGAUUCCCUUUCAAAAUUCUUCGUCUCUCACCACCUCUCCCGCAGCGAUUCUAUUGCUAGCCUCGCUGUUAAGUAUCCUGUUCAGGUAUUCUAUGGAUGUUAAUCGAAUUGAUUUUUGCGAAUUGUGAUUAUGCUCAAACCCAGGCUAUAUGCGUUCGACAAUGUGUUCCUAUAACCUAUACUAGAUUAGUUUAGAAGAUUAUAAAUAAGAGCUUAUGAAUACAAAAAUUUAUAGCCUUUUCCGCGCAUGGCUGUGAGCUAUUGACUCAUGAAAUUUAUUUUGCUAACUGAAAUUUAUCGUCUGGUUUUGUUACAUGUUGAUAUGCAAUGUUGAUAUUUUGGAAUAAGAGAGAAAAAAGUGAAGGUCUCUAAUUUGUUACAUGUUGAUAUGCAAUGUUGUAUCAGGCUAUGAGGGUGAUUAUUAAUGAAAGAUAUGGUUCUGUUUUUGGUUUGCAGUGUCUAUUAUAAAAGGCUUAUCUAGUAUUUUUAUUUGCUUUAGGAAUCCGAAGAACUCACAUCAUCUACACAAUGGAGGUUUGUUCACACUUCUAUUUUUUCUGCUCGAAUUUAUNUUUCAUCUGACGCUCUCUAUCUCUCUUUCACGUCUUUCUCCUUCUUCCUUCUCCGGCGAUUUCGCUGGUUCUCGCCGCCUCCGGCGCGACGAGGAUCGUCGGUUGGUCCUUCCCCUUUUAUCGUUUUCUACUUAUCCACCGGUGCCACCGUCUGUAUCUCUCUCACCACUCCUAAUUCUCAAUUCAGACCACACAUCCCCAAAGGUUACUCUCUCUGUCGUUCGCCGCUAGCCACCGUCCCCAUCUUCUCCAAUCGCGCUACCCUACCUCAGAGCCUCCACUGUCGAGCCUUCUCCAUCGUCUCACCCAUCCUCGGCCGCCGCCGCUAAUUUGAAAUCCCUAACCCCCAAAUCGAGACCCCUCUCUUAUUCCCUAAUUGUUACCGGUCUCUUGCCCGCGCCGCUUGCGUCUGCCUCUCUGGAAACCGGUGGCAUUCGAUAGCCAGAUGCGAUUCAAGCUUUCAUUUCCCGGUGAAAGCUUCGAGACAUGGUCAGAAAACCUAGCUCUAACACCUUUGGAGGUAUGAUUCCCUUUCAAAAUUAUCGUCUCUUACCACCUCUCCCGCAACGAUUUUAUUGCUAGCCUCGCUGUUAAGUAUCCCGUUCAGGUAUUCUAUGGAUGCUAAUCGAAUUUAUUUUCGCUAAUUGUGAUUAUGCUCAAACCCAGGCUAUAUGCGUUCGACAAUGUGUUCCUAUAACCUAUACUAGAUAAGUUUAGAAGAUUAUAAAUAAGAGCUUAUGAAUACAAAAAUUUAUAGCCUUUUCCGCGCAUGGCUGUGAGCUAUUGACUCAUGAAAUUAUUUUGCUAACUGAAAUUAUCGUCUGGUUUGUUACAUGUUGAUAUGCAAUGUUGAUAUUUGGAAUAAGAGAGAAAAAGUGAAGGUCUCUAAUUUGUUACAUGUUGAUAUGCAAUGUUGUAUCAGGCUAUGAGGGUGAUUAUUAAUGAAAGAUAUGGUUCUGUUUUUGGUUUGCAGUCUCUAUUAUAAAAGGCUUAUCUAGUGUUUUUAUUUGCUUUAGGAAUCCGAAGAACUCACAUCAUCUACACAAUGGAGGUUUGUUCACACUUCUAUUUUUCUUGCUCAAAUUUAUUCAAGAAUUUUUGGUGUAACUUCUUAUACAACCACCAGUAAAGCAGUGACAAUGUUUGAAGAUCUGUGNUUUUUUUUCUAGCUAUUUAUACUUAGCUUCAUCUCUGUGCUGAUCUGAAGCAUAUGUUCUGUUAUAAAUUGGUCUCUCUUACUACAACUUAUAUAAUAGCAGGAAAUGUUAAAUCAGAGUUUGCUANAAAAAUUUAAUUUAUGAUUGCCUUGCAUCUUACAUAGACAAUUACUAUUUACUUUGAUGUAGCAGGGAUUGGAGAUAUCAUUGUUGAAAUCACUUGUCAACAGCAUCACUUGUUUUUUACAAUUAUCCUCUUGUGGAAGCAUAAGAACUGAACCAGUUCACACAUAUCACCAAAAGACAAUAGUUGAUGCGAUUGCCGAUACUUAAUUUGUCUCCAUGGAAUGCUUCAAAGAGCAUUUGUUGGAAUCCUACAUUGUGUCGAUGAAUUGGAAAGUAUAUGUGAAAACUGGCAACCAUUAAUGAGUGAAAUUUAGUUUGUACGUGAUAAGGUUUUGUUAUCAUCAGUUGAACAUGUAAUAAGUUUGUUCCAAAGAAGUUAACUUUGUACUUGCUGAUUUUGCUUUGACAAAUAGGUUUUAUAAGUUGAGUAGUCACUUAUGUGAAAGAUUAGAAAUCAUGAUUUGGAGUCACUUAUGCUCAAGUCUUCUGUUGAACUCAG
rnacentral:lncRNA from 1 species